GAGCGGCGAGAUGGGGAAGGAGGUGGCGGCGGCUCCUGUGCAUCGGUGCCGGGGCUGAAGCAGCCGAGAGGAACAGGCACAGGCUCACAGCAGCACCAACGGAGCCGAAUCCUUCGGGGGUUUGCCGUGCAACUGUUGGGAGAAGUGGCUGUGCCCGGGGAGCGACUCAGCGCAAGGUAAUUUUCUAAUGGACCAAUGAAAGCCAACGAUGACAAGUUGUGGUCAACAGUCCCUGAAUGUGCUGAUGGUUCUGCUCUCCUUACUCUUGUCAGCAGUGUUGUCUGCACACUUUCGGGUCUGCGAGCCCUACACGGACUACAAAGGUCGCUACCACUUCGGGUUCCACUGCCCCCGGCUCUCUGACAAUAAAUCCUACAUCUUCUGCUGUCACCAUAACAACACAGUGUUUAAAUACUGCUGCAAUGAGACAGAAUUCCAAACUGUCAUGCAGAUGAACUUAACGGGGAGUGCAGAUGGAUACAUGCAUAACAACUACAGCGCCCUGCUGGGAGUGUGGAUCUAUGGCUUUUUUGUGGUGAUCCUGCUCAUCCUGGACCUUUUGUAUUACUCCUCCCUGAACUAUGACAUUUGCAAGCUGUACCUGGCACGGUGGGGGAUCCAGGGCAAGUGGCUGAGCCAGGGACAGAGCCGAUGGAUUAACCCCGCUCAGGACCCCAGCCAGGCUCAGGCACAGCCUCAGCCACAGCCUCAGCCCCAGCCAGCACAGACAGUUCACACUCUAAAAGGAGAUGCUUUAAGCCCACCCCUGAUGUCUUUUCAGAGUUCAUCUGCCUGAACAGUGUUCAGGAGUAUCAACCAUUUCAGGAUCUAUCAAAUGAAAAACAUUGCCACUAAUUGAAAAAUACUUGACUUUCAGAAGCACAGGAUUACUUCAGAAACCAUUAUUUACAAAAAUCAUAUUGAUGUGCCUCAAGAUGGGAGAGGUAGGACCAGACUUCAAGGAGCAGCUUUCAAGAAAAAUCAACUGAAUUACAAGAGGAGGGAAAAAUUAGGGAUAAGCAGGAGAGAGAAAGACUACAAGAGGAAGAUGGAGCAAGUCACCUGAAGACAAACAUCAUUCAGACAAUUUCUGUAAGGAAAUGAUAUGGAAAGAGUCUCCAGGAGAGAGUAGUCUGUAAGCAAUAUUUUAGUUCUAGACCAACAAUAUUAUCUCUGGAAGAAAGCACCAUAUUUGAGAAAAUGCUGAACAGGAAGAAAAUUAAGUUGCUCUGGCAAAUCCACACAAAGGUGGAAAAAGAUCACAAGACAAACCUGUGGUAGAUAACUUUUCUUUGCCUCCCCAUCCAUCUAUUGCCAUUUGAGCCUAAUCUAAGUGUCAGAAUACUGAAUGUGAGUUUUUCCAAAGUUCUCUGGUGAGCAUUUCCUCACGAUGGGGUAGAUGCUGGCAAUCCUCAUCACUGUUAACCAUAUCUACCAUAUGCAUUGCAAGGUAAGCAAAGCCCUUUCAGUGAGUCCAGCUGCAGGGUAGCAGUUGCUUCAACCUUAAUGCACAUUUUAAGAUCAUUGGCAAUGAUUCUGCUAAGACAUCAAGCAGCUGAGCACAUCUCAAGUUCAGGUUCACACACCCUCUUCAAGAGGGGAGCUUUAUUAGGAAGCAACACAGGCACCCAAUUCCACCCUCACACUCCUUGAAGAUGAAAAAGAAACAAAACAACAACAAAAAAAUUGGCCAGCUGUGUAUUUCAAAAGCAAUAAUACCAUUUUCUCUUUGCUUUACAAGACAAUAGUCCAACUCCCUCGGUCACUGACUGGCUUCAGAGUUUACACCUCACAAAUGUAAGAAUUCAUUUGUGAGCCAGAAGGACAGUGAUGCUACCACAGAAGUACUUGGUCAGCAGGUUGCAAUAGGGUGACUUAACUUUCCACAGGACAGUCUUAUUUUAAAAUCCCCCAGUAUCAAUUACAUGGGCAAACCCUGUGAAGUUCAAUUGUUUAAGCUGUAUAUGUGGAGAACCUGGCAGUGGCAACCAAACAGAGGAGUUCAUCUGGAAGUCAUAACACAAAGCCCUGAUAAUGCCAAAUUAAUCCUUCAGGCCUAAUAUUUUGCCCUGUAAAUCUGAAUAACUUUAAAGUGACCAUACAUUCUGCUGUACAGCCAACACAAGUGACACGUGGUCAAUGCAUAAUAAUCAAGUUUUCCUUUUGGACCUCUUUGGCUGAGUGAAUUUUAUUCUCCUGUUGAACUUAAAAAGGGACACUGUUCUGAGUGAUCUGAACUAAUUCAUGGCUGCUGGAGUGCAGGAUGGUACAUGACUAAAACCAGACAGGAAUAAGUUGUGUUGGAGGACCCAACAAGGCUGGAGAUCACCAGAGUGCCCAGCCUUCAAUAUCUGAGCAGGAUACCAGCAUGCACAAGCCCCUUUUCUUAACAAACCAAGUACUAAACUUGCCUGGUGUCACUGAGCAAGGACAGGCCACAGCUAAGAGAAAGAAUUCAAACGCCACGGGUGGCAGUGCCACCCUGGGGGCAUCAGACUCCAUCCUGUCCUAGCUGAGCUUGAUGCCUGGCCCAUUCUCACUCAUCACAGAAGCUCCUGAGUGAACAACUCAGCUUGUAGAGCCCCAGAGGAGCUGCCCCAGUGCAGCUGGGCUGUUUGGCACUGGGAGUGACACAGCACUUCAAAUAAAACAGGGCCAGUAUUUUUUUAGACCUUGAUUCACACUAAACCGCAGAGAUUCUUCUAGGUUUUCAAAAAGAAUAUGUCAAUCAGGGCACUGCAAACCCUUCCAAAAAGAAUAUGUCAAUCAGGGCACUGCAAACCCUUCCAAAAAGAACAUGUCAUCGGGGCACUGCAGAACCAUCCAAAGCACUUCGGCUGGGAGCAAAAAGGACCCUCAGCAAAGACAUGCUGUAAGGACCUUGCAGAUCCUGGCAGACAGUCCAAAAUGCUCUCUCCUUGAGGAUGAGGGAUUCUGCAGGGAAAGGGUCUGUGCUUCCGGGGUGGGAGAGCUGAUCCUGUGAGCUGGAAGGUGGUGCUUUUAGUGCCAACUCCCAAGGAAAGCAAAGGAAACCACGGAGCUGGAGGCAAUGUAUCCAUGGCUCUGCCAACAUCACACCUUCUCCACACUCCCUCAUUGUCUUCAAGGACAGUAAUCCCUGCAGACACUCAAAAAAAUACAUAUCUACACCCAAAAAAGUGCAUAUCUAGAGUAAUCAGUCUCACCUAGGCACUUUGCAGUAACUCUUGGCUUCUUUUCCCUUUUUGCCAGCACCUACUACCAUUGUGAGGUGAAGACUGCCACACAGAGAGCUUUGUAAAAAGCUUAUGUUCAUGGAGGAAUUUGUAUUAGAUACUGGUUUGUGUGACUUACUGUAUUUUGUAAGGGUUUUUUUCCCUCUGGGAAUUGUGCGUUAUAACUGAGCAGUUUUAUGCUUUCCUUCUAGUACAUGUAUACCUUGUAAUGGAUGUGCUUUUCUGUUUGUUUGUUUUCUUUUAUGCUCUAUACAGAGCUGGUUAAUAGAAGGUAGAUACUCUCUCUGGCUGAAAUUCUCAUUUUGCCUCCCAGUUAAUUUAUGGAUAAAUCCCCGUUGUAGCUGGUGAACUGUGGUUCACCAAGUGUGUUGUUAGAAUCACCUGAUAGUUUCUCUGUUUUAGCAGAAUAUAAGAUCCUGAGUAAGACUAAUGCUAGCUGGGCCUUAACCUCUAGGGAAAUAGUGCACUUCAUGUGAUUCCCUACCUGCCCUUCUCCCUCAGUGUUUGGGACACUGUAGAAGAGCACUGGCUACACAAACAGCCCCCUCAACACCUCAGCCAUCUCUGUAGCUGGGCUCUGAUACCCCCCUGCUUUUACCUGAUCAAAAUCAUGGUGAACCAGAAAAACUGCAAUGAACUUUUCACUUUUUUCCUGCAGAGACCGGUUCAAACACAACCUUUCUCUGUAAGAAAGAAUCUGGACUAAAAUAGAUAUAUUUUCCUCCAUGUCCAUCCUGAUCUGGCUGGAAAAAUAAGGGAUCUAAAAUUAACAUUUACAGCCUAGGUUACAAUGGCAGCUGUCUGUCUCAGUGGCUAUUAAUGACCUUCAUGCUCCAGAAACCUCCUUCCUUGUCCAACUCAUUUUCUCUCUUCAGUUUUACUGAGAACUCAGUGUCCAACUUCUUAAUAAUUGCUGUGUAUAACGUAGGACAUAAAAAGAUAAGUUAUAAAGCUUGUGCAGGACUUGGUGUUGUAAUUAACCAUCUUUUGUGCCUGGUUAUCAAUUUUACAAAAACAGAGUGAAAAUAAUCCGGCCUCUCAAUGUCUACUUCAGCAUAUUGUAGCAGCUCUUUUAGAUAACUGUUUUUUAUAGUUUUACUGUAAUUUCUGUAUGAGGACUGUCCACUUGAAGAAGCAACAGGUCAAAAUGAUUUUUUUAGAGUCAGUUCCAUUUCACCACCAGUGAUGGUGUAUGAAAGGUAUAAAGCAGCAAAAACAAAACCUCAGCCACUCACCAGGAAGAAACACCUUUUCUCAGCCUCAAACAAUCCUCUUCUGCAAGACAGGCAUUUCUUCUAGUCCUCCUUUUACAAAAGUAGUAAAUCACUAAGAAUAUAUACAGUACAAUAGUCUAUUUUAAUAGUCAGCAGACAAAUUUUAGGCUAAUUAAGCUAACUAGAAAUUCUAGGGUUGCAGUGAUUUCUCUUUAUCAAUACAUUGACAAUAAUAUUGUUUACAUAACACUUGAUGUUUGAAAUCAAUACGUGCCAGUGUCCAGUGAUUUGCUAAUCUAGUUUUGGAUCUAAUCCUGUCCUAUUUUUUGCAGCAUUCUCUGACUUCAUAUUAUGAAUCAUGUUGUCUUUCUAAAGUGAUUGCCAAGUAAACCAAAAAUGUGUUUUACACUGCUAUUGCACUGCUCUUGUCUUUAUAUACAGUAGUUUUUAUAAAGAUGUCCUUAGGUUUUAAUAAAUGAGUGUAAUGUAAACUAAUCUCUGUAAUAAAACUUGCUUUAGUGUUUCA